AAAUACGGAGGAAAAGAAACCAACAGGGAUUGCCUUAGUAACGGCGAGUGAAGCGGCAAAAGCUCAAAUUUGAAAUCUGGCACCUUCGGUGUCCGAGUUGUAAUUUGAAGAAGGUAACUUUGGAGUUGGCUCUUGUCUAUGUUCCUUGGAACAGGACGUCACAGAGGGUGAGAAUCCCGUGCGAUGAGAUGCCCAAUUCUAUGUAAAGUGCUUUCGAAGAGUCGAGUUGUUUGGGAAUGCAGCUCUAAGUGGGUGGUAAAUUCCAUCUAAAGCUAAAUAUUGGCGAGAGACCGAUAGCGAACAAGUACAGUGAUGGAAAGAUGAAAAGAACUUUGAAAAGAGAGUGAAAAAGUACGUGAAAUUGUUGAAAGGGAAGGGCUUGAGAUCAGACUUGGUAUUUUGCGAUCCUUUCCUUCUUGGUUGGGUUCCUCGCAGCUUACUGGGCCAGCAUCGGUUUGGAUGGUAGGAUAAUGACUAAGGAAUGUGGCUCUACUUCGGUGGAGUGUUAUAGCCUUGGUUGAUACUGCCUGUCUAGACCGAGGACUGCGUCUUUGACUAGGAUGCUGGCAUAAUGAUCUUAAGCACCCGCUAAAAAAAGGGGG
rnacentral:rRNA from 1 species